AAACAUAUUGCUUGAUGAGAACCAUGUCGCUAAAGUUGCUGAUUUUGGUCUUUCAAGGUCAGGUCCUCUUGGUACUGAAUCGUAUGUCACCACUGGUGUUAAAGGCACUUUUGGGUAUCUUGAUCUUGAGUAUUUCAGGUCGCAACAGCUGACAGAAAAAUCUGAUGUCUACUCAUUUGGGGUAGUUCUUUUGGAAGUUUUAUGUGCAAGAGCGGCGAUUGACCCAUCUCUUCCAAGAGAUCAGAUAAACUUGGCGGAAUGGGGAUUGCUUUGCAAAAACAAGGGGACACUCCAAGAGAUCAUCGAUCCUUCCAUCAAGGAUCAAAUUGAUCAAAACUCACUCAGAAAAUUUAGUGAGACGAUAGAAAAAUGCUUGCAAGAAGAUGGUUCUGAUAGGCCAACCAUGGGUGAUGUGUUGUGGGACUUGGAGUAUGCGGUGCAGCUUCAGAGAGGUGCAAAUGCAAUACAGAGAGAGCCGUAUGAGGAUAGUUCUAGCAGUGUUUCUGCAUCAUUUCAACUGCCCAAUGUUCGGCGUCUUCCUUCACUCUCCACACUGAGUGAAGCCGAUGAUACCAUUGUGAGGAAUGAUGAAUCCGAUAGUGCUGUGGAUUACGUUUUCUCCCAGUUGAAGAUUGAUGAUGCCAGAUAGAUUAUCGAGCACUUCAAGGCAGUCGUCUUUUUGUUUCUGUAGUUUUUGUUGUCAGACUAUCACAUUGUUCUGUCCUUAAUUUCACCAUCCUCGUCUGGUUUCCUUAAUUAGUUUGAGUGAAAUAUGUAUUCAAAUAUUUUCUUUGCAGUAACCUACAAACCUUCGAAUCCACAAAUACCAUUAUUUUGAAUGUUUUAUGUUCUCGAAAGUUUAGAGAAGGAAACUCGUGUGUUGGUAUUAAGUUAGGAACAAUUGGACUCAUUAGACCUAUGGUUAGUUCAUUGUAUUUUCUUUAUAAUUUCUAUUUAAAAAAUUAUUGUAUUUUUAAUUGGUGUGGAACAGAUAUAAAUAAAACCUAAUAGUUAUCGUGGAUGUAAGUGGAAGUUGAAGACCGAAUCACGUUAAAUAUUGUGUUGUUUAUUUUUUACAAUCGUGAUUAUGUGGGUUCUUGCGUGUCUUUUUCUCAUCACAUGUUUCACGGCUAGGGCAGAACUAAUUAAAAAAUCCAUUAAACUCAUUAUAUACCAUCAUCACAUAUUCAAAUUAAAAAUCAUUUUAUAAUAAUAAUUUUUUAACUGAAGAAAAUUGUUGUGAUACUUUUUCUCUGACCACAAUUUCUUGGAAUUAUAAUAGAAGAAAAAUCAUUUGGAAUUUAGACUUCUGUUGUAUUCCAUUCCAAGAAAACCAGGACAAAACAUGUGAAGAUUUUGAUUCCUCUGGAAAGAUAUUUGUACUCUAUUGCUAGCCUUCUUAAUUUCUAUCUUCUUUUUUUCACGGGUCUAAUAGUUCCGGUAGUUGAUAAAUCCACUUCAAUUCAAAAUUAAAGAGAAGGGGGAAAGAGCACUAAUACAAAUAACGUAUUUUAUAAUUAUAUAUUAGAUUGUUUUAUUGAAAAUUGCUAAUACAAAUAACGUAUUAUACACUGCUAAUACAAAUAACGUGUUAUACACUGCUAGAUUGCCUCCAGUGCUGAUGUCGCCGCUAGAUAGCUACCUCCACUACACUACUUGUUAUUUAUAUAGAAAAUUAUUUUUAUUAUAAUGUAUUGGAAUGAAAUGUAUUAUGUUUUAAAUUUUUUAAUUAUUAUAUGUUGAAUGUUUUGGUAUUGAAUUUGGGGUGAUCAACCUCGACAAUGUCUACUAUGUUUUAUAAUGUAUUAUGUUUGGAUAUAAUGUAUUAUGCUUUAAAUUUUGUUUGAAUUGUUAUUUUAAUUGUUAAAUGUUGAACAUUUUACUAUUGGGUCUUGUGUAUUAUGUUUUAUAAUACAUUUAUUAAAAAUUGGGUGACAUUGAUGGAUAAGUGCUUCUAUUACGUAAUCACGAAUCGAAGUUGGAUAAAUGUGAGUUGUAUCAGUGAUGUGUAUGAAAAUGGCGUUGAAGAAUUUCUACAAUUUGCUCAACAGAAUGUAGAAGUUAUAAGUGGAAGAUAUUAGUAUGAUGUCUUUUAAUACAAGGACUGAAGAUGAAAAAGUACUAUGCAGAAUAACAGUGUUACCCUUGAGGCGAAGUCUAUGCACUUUGCUAGUUCAAAAGAUAAUAAUCCUAUUGUGGCUACUUUAAGUUACUUUGGAGUAAUUGAAGAAAUUUGGGAGGUUGAAUACGUCAAAUUUAGAGUUCCUGUAUUUAAGUGUAAAAUGGGUUGAUUGUAACACAAGAGUGCAUGUGGAUGACUUGAGUUUUACUUUGGGUGAUCUUACAAAGAUAGGGUGGAAGAAAAAUCCUUUCAUCAUAACUUACCAAGCAAAACAAGGUUUUUAUGUGAAAGAUCCUUCUAGGUGGUCAGUUGUCGUACAGGGGAGAAUUGAACAUGAUGUUCAUCCACAGGAUGACUCAAGGGUCAAAUCUGUAUACAAGUUUUCAUUCUCUAAACAAAUACCUCCUUUGAAUGAUGAAAAUAAUGUUGAUGAAGUAUAUGCUACACGCCAUGAUCACAAUGAAGGAAUAUGGGAGAACAUUUUAAUACUUCCACAAUAGAAAUUAAGUUAUGUUUUUAUUAGCUUUUAUAUUUAAAAAUUAGUUUUAUUUAAUUUAAAUAUAUAUCUUAAACGUGUUUUUAUUUUUUGUAGGUUGAUCACAUGGCUGACUCAUCAAAGAAGACUAGGGAGCCUACACGACUAAGAAAUCUUGUUAUUAGACGUAUGGGUAAUAAGAAAGUUCCAGUUCAAACAGACCCUCAAACUCGUAGGGCAUCAGACCCUAAUCAUGCUCAAUUUGUAAGUUAUUUGGGAGUCCUAGCUCGAUCUAAGGUGUCUAUCUUGGUACUUGACUGGGACCAUGUAAGAAAAGUAUAGAAGAAUCUUAUUUGGAAGGAUAUUUGUGUAAGCUAUUUAUUUAAAGGUUAUUAAAUAAUUUGUGUAUUUAAAACGUUAUUUACAUUUUAAUGACUUAUUCAUUAUAAUUUUUAGACAAACUUUGAGUUUGAAACUUCCAAUUUGGUUCGGAGCAAGAUAUUGUCUUUAGUAGCUACAAAAUGGAAGCAAUUCAAGAUAAAUUUGAUAGGCUAUUACAUAUUUGGCAAAUACAAGGACAGAUCUCCUUGUGAGAAAUAUUGUAUAGAUGAAGAGGCAUGGUCUCAUUUUGUUCAGAGUCAAAUGGAUCCCUCAUGGUAGGUUUGUGAACAUUUCAUUAUAUAUGUUAUUAAAUCAUAUCAUGCAAUUCAUAAUUUAUGUGUAUGAUGUGCUUGCAGGAAAAGUGGAAGAAAGCUCAAAUCAUUUCACAAAAGAAUGUUACCUCCCACAGACUGUCUCGGGGAGGUUAUGAUUUGUUAGAGAAAAAGAUAAUGGAAGAAAAGUUAAAGAGGCAAACAAAAUCCGAUUCUGGUGAACUUAUUUAUCCUCCAUCACCUCCUAAUCGACAUGGAAAAUGGAAGUUGGCCAGAACUAAAGCGGGAGUCAGAUGAAAUCUGAGAAAUCAUUAGAGAUUUCCCAACGUAUUAUAAGUUCAUAAUUACAUGUCUUAUUUUUAGUAUUGCACACUUAUCAUUACAUAUUAUAUUAACAUAUUGUAUUAUUCUUUACAGAGAGUGUGAUCUCUUUGGUGGGUUGAUGUAUUUUUAUUUGUUGGGUUUCUAUAUCUUAAUCUGGUAUAUUAUUUUGGUUAUUGUAGUGUAGUGUAUGUAUGAUCCUUUAUUGGUAGGGUGCUAGGAAACUUGUUUUGGGUUUUUUGUAUAAGGGUUGGGACACCCCUGAAGUGUCUCAAUUUAUUUUAUUUAUUUUUUGCUGAUAAAAAAAAAGGAUUUGCUAGUGGAGCAAAGCUCACAGGGAAGUUUUGUUCCUAAAGGUCGAGAUGACAUCUUGACUGUUGCUAUUGGAACUAGGGAACACCUUGAUCGUGUACGUACUACUAGUUUUGGUGUUGGGGUGAGGCAAUACUUUGGAUCAGCUCCUCGACCCAACUUUUCUACUGCAAAUGUCAGUCAGGAGAUGAUGGAGCAAUUAGUUGCACAAUUGACAGAGAGACUGACACCACAACUAACUCAUAACAUAAAAGAACAAGUUGUCAAAGAGUUAAAAGCUGAAUUCGAGCAGCGAUAUAAUCCAGUUGAACCAGUAGAUGUAAUUCAUACUCGUGGUUGAGGUAGCACAAAAGGUAGUUGUGAUAUCGAUUCAUACUCGUGGUUGAGCUAGCAAUUAGUGGCCUUUUGAAGAGUGUAUCCAGGACGUUUAACCAUGCACAUUGUUCCCAUGCAGGGUGAUUUCUCUAGAGUGGUAGUUGAAAAAGCUAGAGAUGCAUCUGCUACAGUUUCAAUGUCAUAACAGAGGUUAAUACAGUGGGAUAGACACUUGGAAUAUUUAUUGCAUGGCCUACACAUUUGAUAAAGGCCAUUUCAAAAAAUUAUGAGGUAUAUUUUAUUAAAAGCUAUUAAUGUCAUUCAUUGGGAUGCCACAUUAUUUAGUACAUAACCAUGCAAGAUGUCUUUGAAAUCAUUCAGGUUAAUUAAUUAUUGAACAUCGUAGUUAUUCAACUAUGGAUGAUGUAAGUACCCUUAAUAAUUACAUGAUACUUAAUCAAACGAUGUUUCAUGAAUCAUGUCAUUGAUAUCUAUGUUAACAAUGUAUAUAAAUUAGAUAAUUAUCAACAUGAGUAAUGUUGAUAUUUUUUAUUUCCUUGAGCCGCAAUCCAUACAAAGGUAUGAUAAUAAAAAUAUUAAUUGUCAAACUUACAUUCAAAGAUGAAUUCAGACAUCCAGAAAGAGGAUUUAUAUGGCUCCUUUUAUAAAUGGGUUAGUAAAACUUGUUACAUUUAGAUUUUACAUAAUUAUAAAAAUGACUAAUGAAAUGUUCUAUACUAGGUCUCACCGGCAUUUGAUGCUUAUUUGCCCCAUGGAUAAUACACUUGUGUGGUUUUAUUCAUUACAUAGGAAGUCAAGUCCAGAUCUGGAGACUGCAGUACAAAUGUAUGUUUUUAUUAAUAUGUUAAUUAUAUAAUUUAUUGUCAAUUACUAAUAUUUUUCUCUUUUUAGUGCAAUUAAUGUAUGCAAUGUCUUUGGCGGUAGACCCACUUUAUCAUCACAAGAUCUAGUUAGAUUUUUCCUAGGGUAUAUAUUUAUCUCUUUAUUGAAACUAUUAAGUUUUACUUCUUUUAGUUGUUCAAUUAAAUUAAUUGUUACUUAUAUUUGAUAAUAGUGCAAUAAGCAACAAAAAAAGCUUUGAAUGUGGUUAUUAUGUAAUGCAUUGGAUGUGAACCAUAUCCUUGUGAAUAUUAUGGACUCUUGGAAGCGGGUAUUAUAAGAUUUUAAACACUUUAACAUCUCAUUUUAAAUUCAUAUUUAUUAUUAUGAACACUAAUAUCCAAUUACGUUUCUCAGCUUUUUGUAGAAAUCGAGUCACAAAGCAUACAAACUCUUAAACAAAUCUGUCAAAAAUGGUCCAAAUAUUUUCUAGAGAUUAGGAAUCAAAACAUAUCAUGAUUUGUAACUUUGUAUAUAUAUAUACACUUUCAUUAGUUUUAAUUAUACUAUUUUUUAUUAGUUUCAAUUGCAUGCUUUUAUAUUUCUCAAUAUAAAAAUUGAUCUUAUUGGUUUUUGGUUUGAUUUAAAAAUUAAGUUGAAAAAAUCACAUUUUAAUAAUUUUGAAAAUAACAAAUGUAAAAUGUAAAAUAUCAUAUUACAACUGAGCUAUAUUAAUAAUAGAAUCGAUAUAAUAUAUCUCCAAAAACUUGGGUAAUAUGCAUUAUUGCACUAGUGAAGGAAGUAUGAAGAAAAAUCAACGUCCAUCCUUGACCUGUGCUCAAGUCUUCCUCUCUUUUCAGUCCACAGACUAAUAAUCUUAGUCUAAAAAGAUGCAAAUAUCACACCCGAAACUAAGCCCAGAUCAUCACCUUUCCAUGGAUAUUCCUAAGCUCCACAUAAUUCAACACUCUCGCUGUAUUGCACUUCUUUUCCUUCUUCAGUUCUCAUCACUGCACUUCCCCUCCCUCGGCUACAACGUCCCUGAUAAGUACUUUAUCAAUUGUGGGUCAGACAACAGUGUUACCGAAAGUGGCAAGGUUUACGUUGCUGAAUCAAACCAUGAUGCCAGUUUUAACAGCAGUAACACCGAAAGGAAUCAGUCAUCGGUGCCUUCUCCUCUUUACCAAACAGCAAGAAUUUUUCGAAGGGUAUCUUGGUACAAGUUCAACAUCGAUUCCAAUGGCACCUACCUGCUACGCCUUCAUUUCUUCCCUUUCUCUUCCCCCAGUAAUCUUUCCUCGGCCAGGUUCAACGUUUCAGUCCCUGGUUUCUGGUUGUUGCAAAAUUUUGAUGGUACAAAUGAUACCAAUAACAACUCUGCUUUAGUUAAAGAGUUUUUCAUGGAAAUUAGUGCCCCCACCUUCAAAAUAACUUUCAGACCUCUGGAAUCAUCGUUUGCGUUUGUGAACGCCAUAGAACUGUUCGUACUACCCCUCCAUCUGAUAUCUGACAAGGUGUCGUUUUUUAAACCCAUUGGGGGUACAUCUAUUUAUAGCGGAGGUUUGUACUCUCGGGUGUUGGAGACCAAACAUAGGCUUAAUGUUGGUGGUCAACCUACCAAAGAUCUCUUAUUGAGAAACUGGAUUCCAGAUGAUAUUUAUCUAAUGUAUACAGAAAACGCCAAGAAUCGUUCCCCUUAUAAUGGUGAAAUCGGGUACCAUGUAGAUGAUGACUCCGAUGGUCCAAACNNNNNNNNNNNNNNNNNNNNNNNNNNNNNNNNNNNNNNNNNNNNNNNNNNNNNNNNNNNNNNNNNNNNNNNNNNNNNNNNNNNNNNNNNNNNNNNNNNNNNNNNNNNNNNNNNNNNNNNNNNNNNNNNNNNNNNNNNNNNNNNNNNNNNNNNNNNNNNNNNNNNNNNNNNNNNNNNNNNNNNNNNNNNNNNNNNNNNNNNNNNNNNNNNNNNNNNNNNNNNNNNNNNNNNNNNNNNNNNNNNNNNNNNNNNNNNNNNNNNNNNNNNNNNNNNNNNNNNNNNNNNNNNNNNNNNNNNNNNNNNNNNNNNNNNNNNNNNNNNNNNNNNNNNNNNNNNNNNNNNNNNNNNNNNNNNNNNNNNNNNNNNNNNNNNNNNNNAAGUGAUUGAAUCAUCAAAUGAUGUCCCCCGUGACAUGGACGAACCCGAUUCCAAUCAUCAUCCUUUUCCUGUGGUUCUGGGUUCAGUUCUCGGUGGUUUAGCCUUGGCUUUUGUUGUGGUGCUACUUGGCUUUCUUUUGCGUUUUAAAAUGAGGAAGGAAAAGCCCGUUGGGAAUUCGGACUGGUUGUCAGUCCUCGUUAAUGCUGGAGGAAGUUCUCACAGCAGAUUGACUGAUAUAUCCAGUCACGGCUCUGCCCUUCCCAACAUAAACCUAGGGCUCAAAAUUCCCUUGAUUGAUCUUCAACUUGCAACAAAGAAUUUCCACGAAAGUCAGCUGAUUGGCGAGGGUGGUUUUGGCAACGUCUACAAGGGAGUCCUCAAGAAUGGCAUGACAGUGGCUGUGAAAAGAAGCCAGCCAGGGUCAGGUCAAGGCCUUCCAGAAUUUCAGACAGAGAUUAUGGUUUUGUCCAAGAUUCGCCACAGGCACCUGGUUUCCUUAAUUGGGUAUUGUGAUGAGAGGUUGGAGAUGAUUCUGGUCUAUGAAUACAUGGAAAAAGGAACCCUAAGGGACCAUUUGUAUAACACAAAGUUUCCAACCUUGUCCUGGAAGGCGAGGCUUCAAAUUUGCAUUGAUUCUGCCAGGGGUCUUCAUUACCUUCACAAAGGAGCAGCUGGGGGAAUCAUUCACCGUGAUGUGAAGUCCACAAACAUAUUGCUUGAUGAGAACCAUGUCGCUAAAGUUGCUGAUUUUGGUCUUUCAAGGUCAGGUCCUCUUGGUACUGAAUCGUAUGUCACCACUGGUGUUAAAGGCACUUUUGGGUAUCUUGAUCUUGAGUAUUUCAGGUCGCAACACCUGACAGAAAAAUCUGAUGUCUACUCAUUUGGGGUAGUUCUUUUGGAAGUUUUAUGUGCAAGA
rnacentral:lncRNA from 1 species